AAGUUUGAGCCUCCCAGUUUUAUGGUCCUCUUAGGAGCUCUAUGACCUAUGGGCCUCAGAUAUCCUUUCUGUUUUGGGCUCUACAGCCUCUGGAUCCACUGGGCCUUGGCAACCCUUGUUCUUGGCUCAACUAUUGAUCUCUGUGCCUUAGUUUACUUCUUCACACAGGGGGCUCACCCACCACAUCAUUCCUAGCAUCUAUCCAGACCUUUUGGUGCCUCUUCAGUUAGGCCUUGCCAAUGUGAUCAAGGCAGCUGGGGCACCAAUGGCAACUCUGUCCCCAUAGUAGAAGCAUCACCAGGGAAAUUGGCAGAAGUGCAGAUUGUUGGCCCCACUGCAGCAGACCCAGAUGUCUGGGGCAUGAAAGAGCCUCUAGUCAUUCUGACUAGACAAGUUUGCCAACAGCAACAGGGUUGUGGGCCCAGGUGAGCUUUCAGUGCAACUUGGGCAGGAACAAUGGAAAACAACCAGUCAGCGGGACUCCUAGAUUCAGGGCGUCUGGCCCCACACAGAACAGCACUGUGGCAUUUCCUCUUUCUGGAAGCUGGAGUGGGGGCAAUGGUCUUGCAGGUUUCCUGUUAUCUCUCUGGCUCCAUCUCAGCCCAGCUCACCCUCCCCGAGUAAUCGGUGGUCACAGUAGGCAAGGGGGAGAGUCCCUGGAGGCAGGAGGCCAGAAGGACCAGAGGGCCUCUGCCAAGGGAAAGAAACCUAAGACUGCAAGAACAAAAUUCGGUGCCUGCUCACCUCACCCUCCCAUGCCACACCUCCUCGUCCUCCUGAUUCCAGGGAGACCAUGAAGACAGUGCCAAAAAUCAGUUCCAACCCCCAGCGCCUAGGGAAGAGCUAGAGACUGCCUCUCCUCUCCAUCCUGGCUCCCCGCCUCACCCUGGCCAAUACUGUGACGCCCCUCCUGCUCAGCCUGGUUUCCUGGUGAGGGUCCUGCAGUCGUGGGCCCUGCCGGACCACUCAGGAGGGAAGGGACCAAGGGCAUCCUUGGGCCAACUGUCCACCUAUCCCUUCCACUGUUCUGUCCUUCUCCUCUCCCUUCUGUCACCUCGCCCCCUGCCUUUCUUUCUUUAAAGGCUCCUUCCCAGGACAUAUUGGGUGGUAGGACAGCAUCUGGUCCACCAGCUAUCCUUGCCCUGUGUCUUAUUUUAGACAUGAGAACUGUACAGUGUAAACUUACAAAGUGUUUUUAAUGGUUGUAGAUUGGAAAUAAAGUAUGUCAU
rnacentral:lncRNA from 1 species